rnacentral:lncRNA from 1 species
UGGCGUGUGAGUGCGUGGAGGGUAAAAGCCAGUCAGUCAGUGAGAAGCAAAGAUCAACCACCUCAGAAGAGCCAGAUUCCACUUCUGUGGCCAGGACUUUUACAUUAUGGCUGGUCCGAUUGUUUUACCCUGCGUUCUAUGCUACUAAACCUUGGAUCAUUCCUAAAGUACAAAUUCUGUUCUCGAACCACAAACAAGGCUAAAAGAUCGGAGGAAAUUCAGUGAAUAUACAGGAUUGGGGUUGUGUAUUUUUAAAAGUAUUGAGCUUUAUAAUGUGUCUGAUGAUUUGUGAGCCUCAAGUGACUACUCUGUGGAAUCAUCUGUCCUUGCCUUUGAAUUAGCUUUCCCUAGGCCAUGAGUCAACAUUAGUAGUUUAUACAUCCAAAUUGAUGACAAGAGCACCUCAAAGGCAGCAGCCUCAAGGAGCAGCCAUGGCCCCAGACUUGUCGCACGGAUGCAGAAAACUUAAUGGAGGAGGCUGAGUCAAAUCAGGAGCUUUAGAAAAUACUGAUGCCUGGCUCUCAACCAGAGAGAACUGAACUGAAUUGGUCUGGUGAAUUCAUUAAAAGAGCUAACAACAAUGAAGUUAAUGUACGCAUCUCACCUCUCAAGAGUAUUAACAGGCCAGGCGUGUUGGCUCAUACCUGUAAUCCCAGCACUUUGGGAGGCCAAGGCGGGCGGAUCACCCAAGAAUGGGAUAACUGCCUGGCACUCACCAAGCUACACUUGAAGAGGAUCAAUCCAUGUCAUCAUGUCCCCAAUUUCAUAGCACCAAGUAUUUUGUUUAUUCACAAAUGCCCUAUUAUGGACAUCUAGCAAACAAUGAUACAUCAGAAAAGGAGAUGUGCAUAAAUUUUCAUGGAAUAAGGUAUAAAGCCCAACUCUCAAUACAUACUAAUCAUAACAGGAGUCUAAGAAAUAUUCUGAAAUAAAUGGGAAUGCAGAAUGUGUCAGGCCUCUGAGCCCAAGCUAAGCCAUCAUAUCCCCUGUGACCAGCACGUACACAUCCAGAUGGCCGGUUCCUGCCUUAACUGAUGACAUUCCACCACAAAAGAAAUUAAAAUGGCCUGUUCUUGCCUUAACUGAUGACAUUAUCUUGUGAAAUUCCUUCUCCUGGCUCAUCCUGGCUCAAAAGCUCCCCAACUGAGCAUCUUGUGACCCCCACUCUUGCCUGCCAGAGAACAACCCCACUUUUUCCUUUACCUACCCAAAUCCUAUAAAACAGCCCCACCCCUAUCUCCCUUCGCUGACUCUCUUUUUGGACUCAGCCCGCCUGCACCCAGGUGAUUAAAAUCUUUAUUGCUCACACAAA